UACGGGGGGGGUAAGCGUUGUUCGGAAUUACUGGGCGUAAAGGGCUCGUAGGCGGCCAACUAAGUCGGACGUGAAAUCCCUCAGCUUAACUGGGGAACUGCGUCCGAUACUGGAUGGCUUGGAUUUGGGAGAGGGAUGCGGAAUUCCAGGUGUAGCGGUGAAAUGCGUAGAUAUCAGGAGGAACACCGAUGGCGAAGGCAGGUCUCUGGGCCGAUACUGACGCUGAGGAGCGAAAGCGUGGGGAGCGAACAGG
rnacentral:rRNA from 1 species